CAGUCGCCCGGGAAUACGGAGGGUGCAAGCGUUAAUCGGAAUUACUGGGCGUAAAGCGCACGCAGGCGGUCUGUCAAGUCAGAUGUGAAAUCCCCGGGCUUAACCUGGGAACUGCAUUUGAAACUGGCAGGCUAGAGUCUUGUAGAGGGGGGUAGAAUUCCAGGUGUAGCGGUGAAAUGCGUAGAGAUCUGGAGGAAUACCGGUGGCGAAGGCGGCCCCCUGGACAAAGACUGACGCUCAGGUGCGAAAGCGUGGGGAGCAAACAGGAUUAGAUACCCCAGUAGUCCCUGUCUCUUAUACA
rnacentral:rRNA from 1 species